UACGAAGGGGGCUAGCGUUGCUCGGAAUCACUGGGCGUAAAGCGCACGUAGGCGGACUCUUAAGUCGGUGGUGAAAUCCUGGAGCUCAACUCCAGAACUGCCUUCGAUACUGAGAGUCUCGAGUCCGGGAGAGGUGAGUGGAACUGCGAGUGUAGAGGUGAAAUUCGUAGGUAUUCGCAAGAACACCAGUGGCGAAGGCGGCUCACUGGCCCGGUACUGACGCUGAGGUGCGAAAGCGUGGGGAGCGAACAGG
rnacentral:rRNA from 1 species